AAUAGAUACCCAGGUAGUCCACGCCGUAAACGUUGGGCGCUAGAUGUGGGGACCUUUCCACGGUUUCCGUGUCGUAGCUAACGCAUUAAGCGCCCCGCCUGGGGAGUACGGCCGCAAGGCUAAAACUCAAAGGAAUUGACGGGGGCCCGCACAAGCGGCGGAGCAUGCGGAUUAAUUCGAUGCAACGCGAAGAACCUUACCAAGGCUUGACAUAACCGAGAACACCGUAGAAAUACGGGACUCUUUGGACACUCGGUUACAGGUGGUGCAUGGUUGUCGUCAGCUCGUGUCGUGAGAUGUUGGGUUAAGUCCCGCAACGAGCGCAACCCUCGUCGCAUGUUGCCAGCACGUCAUGGUGGGAACUCAUGUGAGACUGCCGGGGUCAACUCGGAGGAAGGUGGGGAUGACGUCAAAUCAUCAUGCCCCUUAUGUCUUGGGCUUCACGCAUGCUACAAUGGCCGGUACAAAGGGCUGCGAUGUCGUAAGGCGGAGCGAAUCCCAAAAAGCCGGUCUCAGUUCGGAUUGAGGUCUGCAACUCG
rnacentral:rRNA from 1 species